UUUUCCGGUUGAUCCUGCCGGACCCUACUGCUAUCGGGGUGGGGCUAAGACAUGCGAGUCGUGCGUCUCUAAGCCAUGGUAGAGACGCGGCAUACGGCUCAGUAACACGUGGCUAACCUACCCUUAGGACGGGAACACCCCCGGGAAACCACGCACAGGCACGUAAUCACCCUUCUCAACACGCUCAAAGCAUGGCGAUGUACACACAGUUCGUGUACAACCCGCUUUCAUCGACGGAAAAAACCAACCCAAGAAGCUUUGAGCCAACCAUUCACGGUAACAUAUCACCGCCAACAAAAACAAACAGGAGCUCUGGCGUGGCCCAAAACUGGGGUUAAUACCCGAUAGGUGAGGGGGCCUGGAAUGGUUCUUCGCUGAAAAGGCGUUGAGACCAUGCUUUUCAACGUUGCCUAAGGAUGGGGCCGCGCCCGAUCAGAUUGUUGGUGGGGUAACGGCUCACAAAGCCUAUAACCGGUACGGGCCGUGAGAGCGGGAGCCCGGAGAUGGGCACUGAGACAAGGGCCCAGGCCCUACGGGGCGCAGCAGUCGCGAAAACUCCGCAAUGCGCGAAAGCGUGACGGGGCUACCCCGAGUGCCGUCCGCUGAGGAUGGCUUUUCCCCGGGGUAAUGAGCCGGGGGAAUAAGGAGAGGGCAAGUCUGGUGUCAGCCGCCGCGGUAAUACCAGCUCUCCGAGUGGUAGGGAUGAUUAUUGGGCUUAAAGCGUCCGUAGCCGGUUUAGCAAGUUUCUUGUCAAAUUCAGUGACUUAAUUGUUGAUACGCUGGAGAUACUACUAUGCUAGGGGGCGGGAGAGGUCGGCGGUAUUCUCGGGGUAGGGGUGAAAUCUUAUAAUCCCGGGAGGACCACCAGUGGCGAAGGCGUUAGGCUAGAACGCGCUUGACGGUGAGGGACGAAAGCCGGGGGAGCGAACCGGAUUAGAUACCCGGGUAGUCCCGGCUGUAAACGAUGCGGGCUAGGUGUUGGGGUGGCCACGAGCCGCUUCAGUGCCGCAGGGAAGCCAUUAAGCCCGCCGCCUGGGGAGUACGGUCGCAAGGCUGAAACUUAAAGGAAUUGGCGGGGGAGCACCACAAGGGGUGAAGCUUGCGGUUUAAUUGGAGUCAACGCCGGAAAUCACUAGU
rnacentral:rRNA from 1 species